AUUGAACGCUGGCGGCAGGCCUAACACAUGCAAGUCGAGCGGAUGAAGGGAGCUUGCUCCUGGAUUCAGCGGCGGACGGGUGAGUAAUGCCUAGGAAUCUGCCUGGUAGUGGGGGAUAACGUCCGGAAACGGGCGCUAAUACCGCAUACGUCCUAAGGGAGAAAGUGGGGGAUCUUCGGACCUCACGCUAUCAGAUGAGCCUAGGUCGGAUUAGCUAGUUGGUGGGGUAAAGGCCUACCAAGGCGACGAUCCGUAACUGGUCUGAGAGGAUGAUCAGUCACACUGGAACUGAGACACGGUCCAGACUCCUACGGGAGGCAGCAGUGGGGAAUAUUGGACAAUGGGCGAAAGCCUGAUCCAGCCAUGCCGCGUGUGUGAAGAAGGUCUUCGGAUUGUAAAGCACUUUAAGUUGGGAGGAAGGGCAGUAAGUUAAUACCUUGCUGUUUUGACGUUACCAACAGAAUGAGCACCGGCUAACUUCGUG
rnacentral:rRNA from 1 species